rnacentral:rRNA from 1 species
GAUGAACGCUGGCGGCGUGCCUAAUACAUGCAAGUCGUACGGAAAGGCCCUUCGGGGUACUCGAGUGGCGGACGGCUGAGUAACGCGUGGGAACGUGCCCCAAAGUGAGGGAUAACGCACCGAAAGGUGUGCUAAUACCGCAUAUGGUCUUCGGAUUAAAGCUUCGGCGCUUUGGGAGCGGCCCGCGUACGAUUAGAUAGUUGGUGAGGUGAUGGCUCACCAAGUCGACGAUCGUUAGCUGGUCUGAGAGGAUGAUCAGUCACACUGGAACUGAGACACGGCCCAGACUCCUACGGGAGGCAGCAGUGGGGAAUCUUGCGCAAUGGGCGAAAGCCUGACGCAGCCAUGCCGCGUGAUUGAUGAAGGUCUUAGGAUUGUAAAAUUCUUUCACCGGGGACGAUAAUGACGGUACCCGGAGAAGAAGCCCCGGCUAACUCCGUGCCAGCCGCCGCAGUAAGAC